UGCACGGACGGGGUCUCUGUCUCGUUAACGUUGACAGCUUACCGGCUCCGCUUUCACAGACUUAUUAUGCCACGUGUAAUUUGAAACAAUUACAAAAACACUGGCCCACUUGUUACAACACUCAUUUCGCCUCACAUAUACAAACCGCAGAUUCAAUAGCUUUACAUGCUUUCCAAUCACACCCCAGCGGAGCGGCAGUGUUCGUUGCAAAAAAAAAAAAAAAGUCUUGCGUUUCAUUUGCGCUCGCAUGCUACCGGAUAAUCUUUCACGGUUUGCCUGGGGUUUGUUUUGCUAUUUCAGCAGAAACUUGUGCAAGCUAUUUGAAUUACCAUGGGGGAAAAAAAAUGCGAGAAAUAUCAAUUGAUCGUCCUGUCAGUAUAAAUGAAUAAUCGAGUUGAACAAUCAAUCCUCAAAAAAAAAAAAAAAAAGGCGAAUAACAAAUGGCGUCUUAUUGUCUUGUACUCUCCAGGAUGCGUUACACGAGCAAGGAGAGGAAGAGUGAAUAAAUAAGACGUUUCAAUCCCAAAACAAGUCACCACAAUUCAUUAGAAAAGAAGUUACAGCAGAAGGCUCGGCGGCAAGCUAAGCAGAAGAAAUCCAAGUCGGCUGAAUUUCUGAUGGCGCGAGUCGAUGCGGCGGGCACGGAAAACCCGGCCUUCGACGCCGAGCCUUGCCUCCUUCCCGUUUGGCCGGCGAGAGAAAUUCAAGGUGACAGGGCAGAUAGCGCCCUUGCAGCUCCCUUCACCCCCUCCCCCACUCGCCUAAAUAAAUUUGAAAAAAAAAAGAAAAUGGAGCUGCGAGCCUCAGCCAAAGAAAGAGGUGAAGCUUCAUUUUUCAUUAGCCUCAAAUGUGUUGGCAGUAGAUGUGUUCCUGAUCUAACCUUUCCCCCCCGCUUUCUUUUCCAACUCACUUUCUGUGCGUUCAGGGGCCCCUCGGUCCCAGCAUUCCAAAGCGAGCGUGUCCUCACAGGCAAAAGCCCCUCCUAGAACUUCCUCCAGUGAAGAACGCUCCACCAGUGGGUGUUCUAUCGCUAUCCGGAAGCACCCCUGGACACAAUCGGCCUUGACUCCCACUCUCGGCUCCGUGCCUUGUGGUGGGCCGGAGUCGUAGGAGAGAGCGCAUUUACAUACGCUACGACCGUACGGAGCCCGGGCGCCGCAGACGGCGCCCGGGCUGCCAACGCCUCUGAAACACGGCUCGCGGCCAAUCGGGCAUACCAAUGUGUGGCCCCUUCUAAUUCACCGUGUCAGGAAGAACUCUUGAGGAAUGGGAUGGGCAAAUUAGGAUGCGUUGAAGGUUGCCAGUGUGCCAGUUUUCGCAGGGAUGAGUCACAUGGCAAGUUUUUGCUGUGUGUGC